UACGUAGGGGGCAAGCGUUGUCCGGAUUUAUUGGGCGUAAAGAGCGUGUAGGCGGCCAAACAGGUCAGCUGUGAAAACUCGAGGCUCAACCUCGAGACGUCGGUUGAAACCGUAUGGCUAGAGUCCGGAAGAGGAGAGUGGAAUUCCUGGUGUAGCGGUGAAAUGCGCAGAUAUCAGGAAGAACACCCGUGGCUAAGGCGGCUCUCUAGUACGGUACUGACGCUGAGACGCGAAAGCGUGGGGAGCGAACAGG
rnacentral:rRNA from 1 species